UUUCUAACUUCUUAUUUAACUUCUAACACAGGAAAUAUUGAUAGAUUUAACUCACAUAAAUAGCAGCCUUUUGGAGUUCUCAGUAAUUGUUAAGAGUGUAUAGGGUUCUGUAGAACAAGAAGUUUGAGAGCCCCUGGAGAACGGGUGCUCAGGUGCUAGUCAGGUGCUUAGUGGUGGUAGACGGAUGCCAAGAUGUCUUCCGCAACUGCUCCCGGACUUGAAGUAAUUGGCCACAUGGAGAUGGGUGGGCAGUGCCUCCAGUUUACAAACCAGAAGCUGCUGAAUGUGUCUGGAGUCUAGGACAUGGGCUGUGCAGGGAUUCCCUUUGUAUCUGUUCUAUCUAAGCCGGGAUUCCUGUGCAGAGGCCUGGCCCUGAAGACCCGCUCUCCUUUGCUCCCUGCCAGGUACCUUCUGUGUGACUUCAACCCUCCAGAGGGCUUCAGCCUCCGUAGGAACGUCUGCAUCCACAUUGCCUUCCUCCUGAAGACCCUGCUGAAGAUGGAAGAGCCGGUACUGGUGCUAUCCCCUUGGGGCCACCUCUACCACUGGCAGAGCCCCGACAUCAACCAGGUCUGGAUUCCCUGGUCUGACUCCUUUGACCUCCCAAGUCUCAACAGAAACAUCCCUGACAUUGAGUACGAGCAGUUCAUUGCAGGCCUCUGAAUACUCAGUCCAGGAAAGCUAAACCAUUCUAGCCUUCAUCGGUUCUGGGAAAGCAAUCUUCAGAGUGGGAAAGAACAUUGAAAAAUAAUAUUCUGGUUCACUUGGUGAUAAUAAUAGUAACCAAAGCAAUAGCAAACCCUUACAGAACUCUGUCCUGCUGUUCCAGGAACGCUGUGUUCACGACAACCCAAUGAGUUGGCACCACUAUGAGUUCCACUUUAAAGAUGGCCUUGCCUCCUGCUUCGGAGAGAAUGACAUGUUACUGGAAAGAACUCGCUCACCUGCAGCAAAUCUGCUCACCUCACCUUUCAUCUGUCCUUCUCCCACCUGCACUCUAGCUGUAGUUGUUCUUAAUUUAGUGAGUUUAGUUGACAUAUAUAUACAAAGUUAAAAGCAUAGCACACUAUAGGCUACCUUCUAGGGCUUACUUUUUCAGUUUAACAUAGAGUGUAUGAUUCAUCCAUUUCGUUGCAUGUACCUGCAGUUCAUUUGUUUUAACUGAUCUUAAAUAUUGUGUGUGCGAAAAUAACACAAGAGAAGGGUAAGCCAGGAUUCAGGAUGCUGGUUACUUCCUGUGAGAAGAGGCCAAGAGCAGGAUAGGGAAAGAGGACACAGUAUGUCACUGUCAAUAUUCCUGUUAUGAUGCUGGGUGAUAUGUUCAUAAAUGUGUCUUAUAAUAUUAAUUUUAAUACAUAAAUACCUCUGACAGGCACAUAUGAUGAGAAUGUGUCAUGAACCAAGACAUACAAUGGGUAAUAUUACAUCAUUAUUGUUAUGUAAUCUUGUUAUAUUAUAUGUUAAUGAUAGUCUUACAUUAUUUGUUAUGGGUUAUAUAUUAUAUAGAUGCAUGAAUGAUAUAUUAUGUAUAUAAACACCUAC